rnacentral:lncRNA from 1 species
CGGACCGGCAUCCCCAAUCGGCUUCAACACAUACUCUUUCCCAGUCGUGUGAUUGAUCAGACGGCUCUCGCUCAGCUCAAUGCUCACCACAUCACCGGUCCUGCACUCCUCGCAAAUCCUCGUCUCCGAUUCCAGCGGGUACACCUCGCCGGUGGCCACCGAGUUCCUGAAAAAGAUGCGCGCGUACGACUCCGCCACCACCGCCGCGACUCCGGCCGCGCCGAGAGCCACCGGCGCGUGCUCGCGGGACGAGCCGCAGCCGAAGUUGGCGCCGCCGAUGACGAUGGAGUACUUGGACUUGGUCUCGUUGGGGUCGACGAAUCGCGUGGAGUAGGACGCCGGGAGGCCGCAGAGGGCGUAGGAGCCGAGCUUCUCGUACUCGGAGGGGUUGGAGGGGACGAGGGUGAGGUACUCGGCGGGGAUGAUCUGGUCGGUGUCGAUGUUGUCGCCGACGACGUAGCAGAGGCCGUGGAAGGUGGUAGAGGGAGUGGUGGAGGCUGCGGCGGAGGCGCGUGUGGAGAAGGUGGCGCGUGGGGUGGGGUUUGGGAGAGGUGAAGGGUGGAUAGGGAUUUGGCGGGGAUGGGAGAGGAGGUGCUGGUUGGGAAUUUGAGGUGGGUUGGGGUUGAGAGAGAGGGAGAGGGUUUGUGAGAGGAGGUAGUGGUGAAGCUAGGGUUUGGGGAGAUGGAGAGGGAGGUGGCGGCCAUCGGGAAUUUUGAGAAUAAGGAAAUGGAGGCGGCUGGAGGAAGUGGAGUGAGGGGUACUCACUCGCUGGGUGAGCUUCUGUAAAAUACUUGUCGUUUGGACGGAAGUGGUUAGGUUGGAUUUGUAAGUUGACAAGUCGUACGCUAUCUAAACG